rnacentral:rRNA from 1 species
UGGGGAAUUUUGGACAAUGGGGGAAACCCUGAUCCAGCCAUCCCGCGUGUGCGAUGAAGGCCUUCGGGUUGUAAAGCACUUUUUGCAGGAAAGAAACGUCAUGGGUUAAUACCCCGUGAAACUGACGGUACCUGCAGAAUAAGCACCGGCUAACUACGUGCCAGCAGCCGCGGUAAUACGUAGGGUGCAAGCGUUAAUCGGAAUUACUGGGCGUAAAGCGUGCGCAGGCGGUUCGGAAAGAAAGAUGUGAAAUCCCAGAGCUCAACUUUGGAACUGCAUUUUUAACUACCGGGAUAGAGUGUGUCAGAGGGAGGUGGAAUUCCGCGUGUAGCAGUGAAAUGCGUAGAUAUGCGGAGGAACACCGAUGGCGAAGGCAGCCUCCUGGGAUAACACUGACGCUCAUGCACGAAAGCGUGGGGAGCAAACAGG